rnacentral:rRNA from 1 species
AUAAAAAACCAAUGCCUUCGGGCUCCCUGGUGAUUCAUGAUAACUUAACGAAUCGCAUGGCCUUGCGCCGGCGAUGGUUCAUUCAAAUUUCUGCCCUAUCAACUUUCGAUGGUAGGAUAGUGGCCUACCAUGGUUUCAACGGGUAACGGGGAAUUAGGGUUCGAUUCCGGAGAGGGAGCCUGAGAAACGGCUACCACAUCCAAGGAAGGCAGCAGGCGCGCAAAUUACCCAAUCCCAAUUCGGGGAGGUAGUGACAAUAAAUACUGAUACAGGGCUCUUUUGGGUCUUGUAAUUGGAAUGAGUACAAUUUAAAUCCCUUAACGAGGAACAAUUGGAGGGCAAGUCUGGUGCCAGCAGCCGCGGUAAUUCCAGCUCCAAUAGCGUAUAUUAAAGUUGUUGCAGUUAAAAAGCUCGUAGUUGAACCUUGGGUCUGGCUGCCCGGUCCGCCUAACCGCGUGCACUGGUGCGGCCGGAUCUUUCCUUCUGGCUAACCUCAUGCCCUUUACUGGGUGUGCU